rnacentral:rRNA from 1 species
AUUGAACGCUGGCGGCAUGCUUUACACAUGCAAGUCGAACGGUAACAGGGUGCUUGCACCGCUGACGAGUGGCGAACGGGUGAGUAAUGCGUCGGAACGUGCCGAGUAGUGGGGGAUAACGCAGCGAAAGUUGUGCUAAUACCGCAUACGUACUGAGGUAGAAAGUGGGGGACCUUCGGGCCUCACGCUAUUCGAGCGGCCGACGUCUGAUUAGCUAGUAGGUGAGGUAAAGGCUCACCUAGGCGACGAUCAGUAGCGGGUCUGAGAGGAUGAUCCGCCACACUGGGACUGAGACACGGCCGAGACUCCUACGGGAGGCAGCAGUGGGGAAUUUUGGACAAUGGGCGAAAGCCUGAUCCAGCCAUGCCGCGUGUCUGAAGAAGGCCUUCGGGUUGUAAAGGACUUUUGUCAGGGAGGAAAUCCCUAGCGCUAAUACCGCUGGGGGAUGACAGUACCUGAAGAAUAAGCACCGGCUAACUACGUGCCAGCCGCCGCCGUAACAC